GCCUGGGUAGCUAAGUCGGUUGAGCGUCCAACUUAAGCUCGGGGCAUGAUCUCACGGUGUGUGGGUUCAAGCCCCGCAUCUGGCU
rnacentral:tRNA from 1 species